rnacentral:tRNA from 1 species
CAAAGAAUAGUCUAAUUUAGGAUUUUAGCUUUGGGAGCUGAAGGUAGGAGUUAAAAUCUCUUUUCUUUGA